rnacentral:misc_RNA from 1 species
UCUAGCUUUCACAUUCUUUGGCUUUGCCAGAUUAGGAUUUUCAAUCUGAAUAAUGCCUUGAGUUCCCUUCCGCUUUUGUUCAGGUUCAUCAUCUGAUUCUUCUUCAGACUCCUCCCCAGAUUCUUCUUCAGGUUGUUCCUUUUCAUAUUCAGCUUCUUGCUUUUUAAAUGUACGAGGGCGUGAGGAGGUGCCAGCAAGCAUCUCCUCAGGAGUGGAAAAGUGGCGCUGACCGGUGGGCUUGCCCUUAAACUUUCCUCUUCCCAUGGUGACCGCCGGAUAAACUAAACAGAGCUAGAAAGGGAAGAUUGAAUUGGUUGUUUGAAUAUGAUGAGAAGCUGAGCUGAUCAAGAAGCAGUUACUGUGUCUCUUAAAUAGAACUUUUGGUUUUUCCGGAGGAGGAUUUUGAAUUGAACUCAAAAACCCUAGUUCUACUGGAGAAUGGAAAUAUCAAAUAUGGAAUCGGAGCAGCGUGUGGAGUGGAGGGGACAAAUCGUGUGCAAUGAUGUAUACGGAG